GGGGGCGACAUGGCUUCGACGGGGAUGUUGAAGUGAGGGUUGCAUGCCGAGCUUCCGCAGGCUCGUAAAACAGCGGAACCUAAAGUAAUCGCAGACGAUUAUAACUACGCCGUAGCUGCAUAGCUACCGUCCUGCCAGCACACUCCCGCAGUGCUGGAACGGGGCGUCGACUCGCGGGACCGCUUGAAAAAUCUGCCUGCGGUUUUUCAGGUUAAAUCAGCAGGAUCGUCCGAACCACAGCCAGUUCAGAGGCGUUGGCAAGGACUAAAAUCAAAAUCUGAACUAAGCAUGUAGAUACUUUCAUAGAGAGUCUUCGGACGCGGGUUCAAUUCCCGCCGCCUCCACCA
rnacentral:tmRNA from 1 species